UGCAGUCGAACGAUGAAGCCGGGUGCUUGCACCGGGUGGAUUAGUGGCGAACGGGUGAGUAUCACGUGAGUAACCUGCCCUUGACUCUGGGAUAAGCCUGGGAAACUGGGUCUAAUACCGGAUAUGACCAGUCCUCGCAUGGGGUGCUGGUGGAAAGAUUUCAUCGGUCUUGGAUGGACUCGCGGCCUAUCAGUUUGUUGGUGAGGUAAUGGCUCACCAAGGCGAUGACGGGUAGCCGGCCUGAGAGGGUGACCGGCCACACUGGGACUGAGACACGGCCCAGACUCCUACGGGAGGCAGCAGUGGGGAAUAUUGCACAAUGGGCGCAAGCCUGAUGCAGCGACGCCGCGUGCGGGAUGACGGCCUUCGGGUUGUAAACCGCUUUCAGCAGGGAAGAAGCUUUUUGUGACGGUACCUGCAGAAGAAGCGCCGGCUAACUACGUGCCAGCAGCCGCGGUAAUACGUAGGGCGCGAGCGUUAUCCGGAAUUAUUGGGCGUAAAGGGCUCGCAGGCGGUUUGCCACGUCUGCUGUGAAAGCCCGGGGCUUAACUCCGGGUGUGCAGUGGGUACGGGUAGACUAGAGUGCAGUAGGGGAGACUGGAAUUCCUGGUGUAGCGGUGAAAUGCGCAGAUAUCAGGAAGAACACCGAUGGCGAAGGCAGGUCUCUGGGCUGUUACUGACGCUGAGGAGCGAAAGCAUGGGGAGCGAACAGGAUUAGAUACCCUGGUAGUCCAUGCCGUAAACGUUGGGCACUAGGUGUGGGGGACAUUCCACGUUUUCCGCGCCGUAGCUACGCAUUAAGUGCCCCGCCUGGGGAGUACGGCCGCAAGGCUAAAACUCAAAGGAAUUGACGGGGCCCGCACAAGCGGCGGAGCAUGCGGAUUAAUUCGAUGCAACGCGAGAACCUUACCAAGGCUUGACAUGGACCGGAUCGCUGCAGAGAUGUAGUUUCCCUUCGGGGCUGGUUCACAGUGGUGCAUGGUGUCGUCAGCUCGUGUCGUGA
rnacentral:rRNA from 1 species